AGAGUUUGAUCAUGGCUCAGAAUCAACGCUGGCGGCGUGCCUAACACACGCAAGUCGAGCGAGAAAAGGGGAGCAAUCCUCUGAGUAAAGCGGCGCACGGGUGAGUAACACGUGGGUAAUCUGCCCUGAAGUGGGGAAUAACACCGGGAAACCGGUGCUAAUACCGCAUAUGAUCACGGUGUCUGCGGACACAGGGAUGAAAGGAGCAAUUCGCUUCAGGAGGAGCCCGCGGCUGAUUAGCUAGUUGGUGAGGUAAUGGCUCACCAAGGCUACGAUCAGUAUCCGGUCUGAGAGGACGGUCGGACACACUGGAACUGAGACACGGUCCAGACUCCUACGGGAGGCAGCAGUGGGGAAUUUUUCGCAAUGGGGGCAACCCUGACGAAGCAACGCCGCGUGGAUGAUGAAGUAUCUCGGUACGUAAAAUCCUUUCGACAGGGAAGAAACCGCAAGGUUGACGGUACCUGUAGAAGAAGCCCCGGCUAACUCCGUGCCAGCAGCCGCGGUAAUACGGGGGGGGCUAGCGUUGUUCGGAAUUACUGGGCGUAAAGGGCGCGUAGGCGGUCUGCUAAGUUGGAUGUGAAAACUCUGGGCUUAACCCAGAGCCUGCAUUCAAUACUGACAGGCUAGAGUUCUGGAGGGGAUAGCGGAAUUCCUGGUGUAGCGGUGAAAUGCGUAGAUAUCAGGAGGAACACCGGUGGCGAAGGCGGCUAUCUGGACAGAAACUGACGCUGAGGCGCGAAAGCUAGGGGAGCAAACAGGAUUAGAUACCCUAGUAGUCC
rnacentral:rRNA from 1 species